CGGGAUGUGGCGCAGCCUGGCAGCGCAUCUGUUUCGGGAACAGGGGGUCGCUGGUUCAAAUCCAGUCAUCCCGA
rnacentral:tRNA from 1 species